rnacentral:rRNA from 1 species
AUUGAACGCUGGCGGCAGGCCUAACACAUGCAAGUCGAGCGGAUGAAGGGAGCUUGCUCCUGGAUUCAGCGGCGGACGGGUGAGUAAUGCCUAGGAAUCUGCCUGGUAUUUGGGGAUAACGUCCUGAAACGGGCGCUAAUACCGCAUACGUCCUGAGGUAGAAAGUGGGGGAUCUUCGGACCUCACGCUAUCAGAUGAGCCUAGGUCGGAUUAGCUAGUCGGUGGGGUAAAGGCCUACCAAGGCGACGAUCCGUAACUGGUCUGAGAGGAUGAUCAGUCACACUGGAAGUGAGACACGGUCCAGACUCCUACGGGAGGCCGCAGUGGGGAAUAUUGGACAAUGGGGGAAAGGCUGAUCCAGCGAUGCGGCGUGUGUGAAGAAGGUCUUCGGCUUGUAAAGCACUUUAAGUGGGGAGGAAGGGCAGUAAGUUAAGACCUUGCUGUUUUGACGGUACCAACAGAAUAAGCACCGGCUAACUUCGUG